UUACCAUGCAGUCGAACGCUGAAGCGACCAGCUUGCUGGUCGUGGAUGAGUGGCGAACGGGUGAGUAACACGUGAGUAACCUGCCCCUGACUUCGGGAUAAGCCUGGGAAACCGGGUCUAAUACCGGAUACGACCACCGAACGCAUGUUGGGUGGUGGAAAGUUUUUCGGUUGGGGAUGGGCUCGCGGCCUAUCAGUUAGUUGGUGAGGUAAUGGCUCACCAAGACGACGACGGGUAGCCGGCCUGAGAGGGCGACCGGCCACACUGGGACUGAGACACGGCCCAGACUCCUACGGGAGGCAGCAGUGGGGAAUAUUGCACAAUGGGGGAAACCCUGAUGCAGCGACGCAGCGUGCGGGAUGACGGCCUUCGGGUUGUAAACCGCUUUCAGCAGGGAAGAAGCGCAAGUGACGGUACCUGCAGAAGAAGUACCGGCUAACUACGUGCCAGCAGCCGCGGUAAUACGUAGGGUACGAGCGUUGUCCGGAAUUAUUGGGCGUAAAGAGCUCGUAGGUGGUUGGUCACGUCUGCUGUGGAAACGCAACGCUUAACGUUGCGCGGGCAGUGGGUACGGGCUGACUAGAGUGCAGUAGGGGAGUCUGGAAUUCCUGGUGUAGCGGUGAAAUGCGCAGAUAUCAGGAGGAACACCGGUGGCGAAGGCGGGACUCUGGGCUGUAACUGACACUGAGGAGCGAAAGCAUGGGGAGCGAACAGGAUUAGAUACCCUGGUAGUCCAUGCCGUAAACGUUGGGCACUAGGUGUGGGGGACAUUCCACGUUCUCCGCGCCGUAGCUAACGCAUUAAGUGCCCCGCCUGGGGAGUACGGCCGCAAGGCUAAAACUCAAAGGAAUUGAC
rnacentral:rRNA from 1 species